AGGAUACGGUUAACGGAGCGAAAGCGACGUUCAACCUCAAAAGAAGCAGAGGGGGCUUAGUGGUGGGGUGACUGCGUACCUUUUGUAUAAUGGGUCAGCGACUUAUAUUCUGUAGCAAGGUUAACCGCAUAGGGGAGCCGGAGGGAAACCGAGUCUUACUUGGGCGUUAAGUUGCAGGGUAUAGACCCGAAACCCGGUGAUCUAGCCAUGGGCAGGUUGAAGGUUGGGUAACACUAACUGGAGGACCGAACCGAC
rnacentral:rRNA from 1 species